rnacentral:rRNA from 1 species
UACGAAGGGGGCUAGCGUUGCUCGGAAUCACUGGGCGUAAAGGGUGCGUAGGCGGGUCUUUAAGUCAGGGGUGAAAUCCUGGAGCUCAACUCCAGAACUGCCUUUGAUACUGAGGAUCUUGAGUUCGGGAGAGGUGAGUGGAACUGCGAGUGUAGAGGUGAAAUUCGUAGAUAUUCGCAAGAACACCAGUGGCGAAGGCGGCUCACUGGCCCGAUACUGACGCUGAGGCACGAAAGCGUGGGAGCAAGCAGG